rnacentral:lncRNA from 1 species
GGAGCUUAAGUUUUAAUAUUUUGAGAUUUGCUGUAUAAAGUCUGCAUUUACCCUAAUUAUCCUUAAUUAUUUUGCAGAUUUUGAUAUCAUUAUAUCUCUGCCGUUUUCUUAGUACUCACUUUUUUCUCUUUUAAAUCUUUUUAAACUUAGAACAUGAUCUGGCUGAUCUCAAAGAAUUAUGGAAUUUUAAAGCCAGAAAGGACCUGAUAUGACUGUUCUCGAGUAUUGGCUAAGUGACCUGCCUCAUAAACCUUAAAAGAAUCUGCAGUCCUACGCGAGGAGUAUGAGAAGAUCCACAGUAAAGGAUCCUGAGAGCAGACUUCAAGGAAUUCAAAUCAAGCUGUCCACCAGCCAUCCCACAUUCCAAGCUCCACUAGGAACUGAUAUGCACCUCAGGUUUGGAGUGCCUGCAUUUCUGAUGGACCCUGUUCAAGAAACUGAUUGCCCUGGACAAGACUCCCUAAAACACAGUGGAGAGCUUUAUCCCCGCCUCCAAGCAGAUCCACACUUCAACAUUCCACGGAAUCAAGAUGGACCAGUUUUCUCCCUUUUCUACAACAUCCAAGGGUCGGCCGUGUGCACACGUGUUCUGGGGCUUCUAUGGUCUCUUCCAUCUUCAUGUACCUGGGUGUGGCCUUUUCCUCCUCACCCAGCACAUGUCCUCCCUGACAUUUGCAGGGCAGAGGAGGUGGCCGGUAAGGUGUCUCCCCCUUCAACUGCCAACCUCCCAUCUUCAGCUCAGAAUCUCUCAACCCAGAGCUAUCUAUAG